UGCGUAACACGUAUGUAGUCUGCCCAUCACUGGAGGAUAGCCCGGAGAAAUCCGGAUUAAUACUCCAUAAUAAACGAAGGGGCAUCUCUUUGUUUUGAAAGCUCCGGCGGUGAUGGAUGAACAUGCGACUGAUUAGUUUGUUGGUGAGGUAACGGCUCACCAAGACUACGAUCAGUAGGGGUACUGAGAGGUUAAACCCCCACACUGGUACUGAGACACGGACCAG
rnacentral:rRNA from 1 species